UACGGUAGGGGGCAAGCGUUGUCCGGAUUUAUUGGGCGUAAAGAGCGUGUAGGCGGCUGGGUAGGUCCGUUGUGAAAACUCGAGCUCAACCUCGAGACGCCGAUGGAAACCCUCCAGCUAGAGUCCGGAAGAGGAGAGUGGAAUUCCUGGUGUAGCGGUGAAAUGCGCAGAUAUCAGGAAGAACACCCGUGGCUAAGGCGGCUCUCUAGUACGGUACUGACGCUGAGACGCGAAAGCGUGGGGAGCGAACAGG
rnacentral:rRNA from 1 species